rnacentral:lncRNA from 1 species
CUGGAAGCUAAUAAGCCUUACCUUGCUUUUUCAUUUAGAUUGACAAAGAAAUAGAGCUUCACAGAAUUCUUCAUCAUAAGCAUGUAGUGCAGUUUUACCACUACUUCGAGGACAAAGAAAACAUUUACAUUCUCUUGGAAUACUGCAGUAGAAGGUCAAUGGCUCAUAUUUUGAAAGCAAGAAAGGUGUUGACAGAGCCAGAAGUUCGAUACUACCUCAGGCAGAUUGUGUCUGGACUGAAAUACCUUCAUGAACAAGAAAUCUUGCACAGAGAUCUCAAACUAGGUAAGUCAUUGACGCCAAAAGCUGAGUUUUGUGCUAGAGUUCUUUUUUCUCUCUCUGUUUUUUUUUACAUAUUAAUGUUCUUAAUUGGGAUCUGGUGUCUGCAAUCUUGCUUUUG